UACGUAGGGCGCAAGCGUUAUUCGGAAUUAUUGGGCGUAAAGAGCUCGUAGGCGGUUUGUCGCGUCUGCCGUGAAAGUCCGGGGCUUAACCCCGGAUCUGCGGUGGGUACGGGCAGACUAGAGUGCAGUAGGGGAGACUGGAAUUCCUGGUGUAGCGGUGAAAUGCGCAGAUAUCAGGAGGAACACCGAUGGCGAAGGCAGGUCUCUGGGCUGUAACUGACGCUGAGGAGCGAAAGCAUGGGGAGCGAACAGG
rnacentral:rRNA from 1 species